rnacentral:rRNA from 1 species
GACGAACGCUGGCGGCGUGCCUAACACAUGCAAGUCGAACGGAGAUACGAUUUCGGUUGUAUCUUAGUGGCGAACGGGUGAGUAACGCGUGAGCAACCUGACUCUUAGAGGGGGAUAACACCUGGAAACAAGUGCUAAUACCGCAUAAGACCACGACAUGGCAUCAUGACGAGGUCAAAGGAGCAAUCCGCUGAGAGAGGGGCUCGCGUCCCAUUAGAUAGAUGGCGGGGUAACGGCCCACCAUGUCAGCGAUGGGUAGCCGAGCUGAGAGGCUGAUCGGCCACACUGGAACUGAGACACGGUCCAGACUCCUACGGGAGGCAGCAGUGGGGAAUAUUGGGCAAUGGGCGCAAGCCUGACCCAGCAACGCCGCGUGAGGGAAGAAGGCUUUCGGGUUGUAAACCUCUGUCCUUGGUGACGAAACAAAUGACGGUAGCCAAGGAGGAAGCCCCGGCUAACUACGUGCCAGCAGCAGCCGCGG